rnacentral:rRNA from 1 species
CGAGCGCAACCCUUAUCGUUAGUUGCCAGCGGGUAAUGCCGGGGACUCUAGCGAAACUGCCGGUGUAAACCGAGAGGAAGGUGGGAUGACGUCAAAUCAGCAGGCCCUUAUGUCCAGGGCUACACACGUGUUACAAUGGCCGGUACAGAGGGCAGCUACCUGGAGACAGGAUGCGAAUCUCGAAAGCCGGUCUCAGUUCGGAUCGGAGUCUGCAACUCGACUCCGUGAAGCUGGAUUCGCUAGUAAUCGCGCAUCAGCCAUGGCCGCGGUCGAAUACGUUCCCGGGCCUU